rnacentral:lncRNA from 1 species
AUUAAAGUUAAUUAAUUCAUGUCCACUUAAGAAAAUUGCACAUAAAAAGAGGUCUUGGUUGAGUGAUUGUUUUACCCCAUGGCUCCUUUUAAACAUAUUUUAAAGUAACUGGUUUGGUCAUUUUCUCUGAAACCAAUGACCUUUAUAUCUCAAAUCAACAGAAUGAAUAAAUUAAACACAAAAGAGAAACAAAUUAGACUCUAAGUAUGUUGCUAUUGAUGAGUUUUCAAUUACAUAAAUUGUAUCUCAUUUUGAUGACUCGUAAGCUUCAGGGGGCUUCGCCCCUCGAACCUAGUACCAACAGGUGCUAAGACCAGGACCCGAUGGGGCCCUCAGACAACUUUCCAAGGUUCGGGCGUACACUUGAAAAUGGCUCAGCUACGCCAUUGAUUAUAAACUACUAGUCACUGUUCACAAAACUUUAAUUUUUUGAAAUAGUAACGCAUGUUUUCCUCAGGAAUAGAUUACCUUAUUUAGCUGUAAUGGUAAAAACAUUUAAAACUUUUUGGUCCUCAAUGCUCUUCAACUUCUUACUUUAUUUUUCUUGUUUAAUUCCGUUUAGUUCGAGCGUCACUGACGAGUCUUUUGUAGACGAAACGCACAUUUGGCGCAAAGAUAAACUUUCUAUCGUAGUGUCUUUGAUUAUUUGAUUGUGUCGUUUUUUAUUGGACUCAUGCUUUCACAAAUGCAAAAUGCUUAGUUUUAACUUAUAAAAUAGUCUGUGAUAAAGUUACUGUGAUGAAGAAAAGGAAACUGUGAUGAAGAAAAGGAAACUGUGAUGAAGAAAAGGAAACUGUGAUAAAAAACUGUAAUAAAAAACUGAUAAAAACUGUUAUAAAACACUGACAGUAGUCAAAAUUUUCUGCUGUGAUAUUUUGGUGCGCGAUAUACGUAUAUUCAUAUGGAAUUUCUAGGUAUUUAACAUGUGUUUAUAGUUGAUUGUAUUAUUGCAUUUUAGUUUAAACUGUUGUUAUUAAACAUUAUAGAACUAUCAAAUGUAUCUUUUUUUAUUUCUUCUGAAAGCAUGUCCAACCUAAAUUGUGGCAUGCAUAAUCAUUGUAGUCGGUGGAAAUCGUAUCAUCUUGCUAAAUAUCAAAAGAUCAAGUGUUUGGGUCAGGAAAAAAACAAAUACUCGGGAUAUCCUAGUAACAACAAAAUGAUAACAUGUCGAAGAAUUCUUCCAAUAAGGUUUCUUGUUUGACGAAUACUAGCCUCUUUUUAAAUCGUCCAUCAUAUCAAGCAUAAUUUUAUACAAAGUAUACAGAGAAAAAAAAUUAGCAACCACAGAAAAUCGUAAAACCAGUAUUUCAUAAUGUAUACAUUCAUAAGCAUUUUUCUAGAAGGAAACCAAACCAUC